rnacentral:lncRNA from 1 species
UAGACACUAAGUGAUAUGCUCUCCAACUAAUAGGAGAUGGUAAAUUUUGCUUGUGGCAGAGAAUACUUCCCAUUUCACUGUGAAUAGUGAAUAGAAAUUGUCUAUAUGUGGGCAUGUUCAUGGAGUAAUUCUUGUUGUCUUCUGCAUUUCCUGCAGUGAGAAGGAGACAAAUGUAUACCAUGUGCACCAGCAAUAGUUCCCCUUUCACUUCCUUAAGGACUCCUUAUCAAUGUUACCCUUUUCUCCUUUACAUGCUAUUUGCACCCAACUAGCUUGAGGACCUGCCAUAACCUGGAACCUCCACAUCACCUUCCUGCUGCCCCCAGCUGUUCCUCAUACAGGAAAAGGAAACUGCACAGGGCAAGGGAAACAGGGGAAACUCCUAUCACCUUGUCCUGUAACAUCUUCACACAUCAUAUCAGCAGCUCAUCCACUCCUUUGAUGAUAUUUUCAAGGAAAAAUGAGAGCUGUUGGAGCACUCCUUUCGCCUCUUCUGUUUUUCUGUCCUGAAUGCAAUUGUAAUGGCAGCAGAAGUGGAGCAGCCCAGACAUUUCAGCCUAGCCUCAGCAAGAGCAGUGAGGGAAAAGCAGAACUUCUCUUUCCAGACCACUAUGAGGCUCCCAAAUAGAAAACACCGUACUAAUUCUCCGUAUUGACAAAGCUUGUGCCUUGAUGAUGACUUCAAUGCUGUGCACAAAACAGAAGAAGUAUAAUAU